CGUGGACCCGUUACCCGGGUUGCGGACAGUGUCUGGUGGGUAGUUUGACUGGGGCGGUCUCCUCCUAAAGAGUAACGGAGGAGCACGAAGGUUGGCUAAUCCUGGUCGGACAUCAGGAGGUUAGUGCAAUGGCAUAAGCCAGCUUGACUGCGAGCGUGACGGCGCGAGCAGGUGCGAAAGCAGGUCAUAGUGAUCCGGUGGUUCUGAAUGGAAGGGCCAUCGCUCAACGGAUAAAAGGUACUCCGGGGAUAACAGGCUGAUACCGCCCAAGAGUUCAUAUCGACGGCGGUGUUUGGCACCUCGAUGUCGGCUCAUCACAUCCUGGGGCUGAAGUAGGUCCCAAGGGUAUGGCUGUUCGCCAUUUAAAGUGGUACGCGAGCUGGGUUUAGAACGUCGUGAGACAGUUCGGUCCCUAUCUGCCGUGGGCGCUGGAGAACUGAGGGGGGCUGCUCCUAGUACGAGAGGACCGGAGUGGACGCAUCACUGGUGUUCGGGUUGUCAUGCCAAUGGCACUGCCCGGUAGCUAAAUGCGGAAGAGAUAAGUGCUGAAAGCAUCUAAGCACGAAACUUGCCCCGAGAUGAGUUCUCCCUGAGACUUAGAGUCUCCUGAAGGAACGUUGAAGACGACGACGUUGAUAGGCCGGGUGUGUAAGCGCAGCGAUGCGUUGAGCUAACCGGUACUAAUGAACCGUGAGGCUUAACCUUACA
rnacentral:rRNA from 1 species